rnacentral:rRNA from 1 species
UGGGGAAUAUUGCACAAUGGAGGGAACUCUGAUGCAGCGACGCCGCGUGAACGAAGAAGGCUUUCGAGUCGUAAAGUUCUUUUAUAUGGGAAGAUAAUGACGGUACCAUAAGAAGAAGACCCGGCUAACUACGUGCCAGCAGCCGCGGUAAUACGUAGGGGGCUAGCGUUGUCCGGAAUCACUGGGCGUAAAGGGUUCGCAGGCGGAAAUGCAAGUCAGGUGUAAAAGGCAGUAGCUUAACUACUGUAAGCAUUUGAAACUGCAUAUCUUGAGAAGAGUAGAGGUAAGUGGAAUUUUUAGUGUAGCGGUGAAAUGCGUAGAUAUUAAAAAGAAUACCGGUGGCGAAGGCGACUUACUGGGCUCAUUCUGACGCUGAGGAACGAAAGCGUGGGUAGCAAACAGGA